UCAAAUAACCAACCGCACAACCUGCUUCUUCGAGGGGUUUCUGAAGAUGUUCCAAACACUUGCCUGUGACUCUUCGGAUUCAUUUAUGACCGCAUAGACAAAGAUCUCGAGAUACCCUUUUGUUUCUCGACUGGCCUAUUGUUUCUCGACUGGCUUCCAAGCAACUCAAGUGCGGAUUCUCGCCUGGCAAUGGAGGACUAGUGGCUCUUUGUUCUCACAGAAUGAUCUCAUCUAAGCCCCUGCUCCGUAGCAACAAUUCUCUUGUAAACCAAGUGUUGUCUGUGAUCAUCCAAAACAGGCCAUUUGAUGCAGAGCUAGCUGCUGCAGCUUCCAAUACUCAAAAUACCAACCAGCCAUGGAGCAUUGAAGCUGUUUCUGAGGUUUUGAGAUCUAUACCCAGAUUACUUUUCCAUUCAACCAGAUCCAUUGGUCGUCAAAAAAGCUUCAGACACUGUGCUCCUCUCAAGCAAAGAAACCUUCGAGACGAAUCUAAUAAAGCUCGAAAAGGUGUUCUUGUUCUUGGUCCAGUUGCACAUAGAGAUCCUCAGAAGGUUAACUUAGGAUUGAAAAAAGCAUUGGAGUUCUACUAUUGGGUUGAGACCUAUUUUGGGUUUACCCAUAAUGCAAUAACUUGCCGAGAGAUGGCUUGUGUAUUGGCUAGAGCCAGUAGACUGAAAGCCCUUUGGGAAUUUCUCAAAGAUAUGGCAAGGAGAGCAAAUGGUGAGCUUGUGACAACUACGACAAUGACAUAUUUGAUCAAAGUUCUUGGAGAAGAGGGAUUAGUUAAUGAAGCAUUAGCUGCAUUCUAUAGGAUGAAGCAAUUUCACUGCAAACCAGAUGUUUAUGCAUAUAACACAAUCAUUUAUGCUCUUUGCAGGAUUGGAAAAUUUAAAAAGGCAAAGUUUUUGUUGGAGCAAAUGGAAUUACCAGGGUUUAGAUGCCCGCCUGAUACAUUCACAUACACAAUCAUGAUUAGUUCUUACUGCAAGUACAGCAUGCAAACUGGGUGCAAAAAGGCCAUUAGGAGGAGGUUGUGGGAAGCAAACCACUUGUUUCGUGCUAUGCUCUUCAAGGGUUUUAUUCCUGAUGUUGUAACUUACAACUGUUUGAUUGAUGGUUGUUGUAAGACAAAUAGAAUUGAGAGAGCCUUAGAAUUGUUUGAUAACAUGAACAAAAAUGGAUGUCUCCCAAACCGGGUCACCUAUAAUUCUUUCAUUAGGUACUACAGUGCUGUUAAUGAGAUUGAUAAGGCUAUUGACAUGUUGCGAAGGAUGCAAAAGAUGGACCAUGGGGUUCCCACUUCAAGUUCAUGUACUCCAAUUAUUCAUGCUCUGUGUGAAGCUGGAAGGAUGUUGGAGGCUAGGGAUUUUCUGGUCGAGCUAGUUGAUAGAGGCUCAGUUCCUAGAGACUAUACAUAUAGCUUAGUUUGUAAGGUGCUGAACACAGCAGGAAAGGAUGAUCUGUUGGAUGAUGAAUUACAUAAAAGAAUUAAGGAUGGCAUUGACAAAAGAUAUAGACAAGUAAUGAAGGUGAAACCAUUGAUGUCAUGCAAAAAUGCAAUUUAACUUGGGGGAAGUUAAGUAAUGGAAUAUUCUUGUCUUCAUGCUCUCCAAAUGUCAAAUGACAAAAGCCUAUAGUGUGAAUCUUUCCCUGCUUGUUAAAUCCUCUUUCAAUUUGUUUCUGCAUGUAAUCUCAUCUUUCAGCUAAAGGGAGAUUAUGAUCUUUUACUGAACUAGCCCUGUCUAUUUUUAUCAAACCUUACUUCCUCUCUGGGGUGGGAAAAUGCUCAACAGUACUGGUUGCAUCUGUGUCACAUAAAGCAUCUGGACCUUGUUUACGUUGCAAUAACCCAUAUCAGUCGAGUAAUUUGGUACUUGGACAUGAUGACAUAAUUGUAAGACUGAAGGGAAGCUGAAUUCAAGUCAGUUUUUUCAAGCAAUAUGAGCUGAAAAACAUUGUGGACUAUCUAGAAAUAUAGUAUCAUUGGCAGAAAGUUUAUGUAAACUAAAGGGCUUGACAGGAAUAUGAAAUGUUGCAGUACACUUGCAUGGAGGCAUAAAUUAUGACAGUAUGUCCUAUUUAUGUUUUGCCUUUUAUCACUUUCUGGAAGGUUUUCUUGACAUAACUCUGUUCGUGCAGAAAAUUUGGGCACGUCUAAUGUUUGAUGCUUAUCAAAUCAUAAGUUUUUCUUUUUCAUUAAAUAGUAUAUUUGUCUAAGAUGAUUUACGCCCUAUUAUCCCGAGUCUUGGUUAACCUUUUACCGCAGCUGUUAGAUAUGAAUCGUGUCUCAGAGUUUUCUUCUAAAAAUGGUGACAUCAGGACCUAAAGUAGAUGGUUGCCUGGGUUGAGGACCAGAUUGAAUAUCCAUUGUGGACCUGGGACACUGGCUGUUGAAAAUGGUGGAUUCUCAUGGCUCAAAGACGAAAUUAGGUUGGACGUCAAAAUCAAACAGCCCCGCUCACUAGCUAAUGCUAUUGGAGUGGCGUGGUUCGACUUUUGGAAGAAUGCAAUGGCUUGCAAAGAAGAGGGGAUAAUUCCUUCAGGUCCUCCAUCCUCAGCACCCCACCCAAGUCAGAGAGCAACAACACUACUGGAGUUUUAGGUCCCUCACCAACGCUUAAGACCGGCAUUGACACCAUUAACAAUGCUAGUUCCCUCAAAGGAAUUACAAGCUAAAAAGCUCGGGAACGUAAGGAAAAAGGCCUAUGUUAUUUCUGUGGUGAGAAAUUCCUUCCAAGACAUCGGUGUCAACGACCUCAACUAUUCAUGCUUGAAAAUAUACUCGACUUCAUCCUUGUGAACAAGGAUAA